UGGGGAUGACGUCAAGUCCUCAUGGCCCUUAUGGUAGGGCUUCACACGUCAUACAAUGGUCGGUACAGAGGGUUGCCAAGCCGCGAGGUGGAGCCAAUCCCUUAAAGCCGAUCGUAGUCCGGAUCGUAGUCUGCAACUCGACUACGUGAAGUCGGAAUCGCUAGUAAUCGCAGAUCAGCAUGCUGCGGUGAAUACGUUCCCGGGUCUU
rnacentral:rRNA from 1 species